rnacentral:rRNA from 1 species
GACGAACGCUGGCGGCGUGCCUAAUACAUGGAAGUUGAGCGCUGAAGGUUGGUACUUGUACCAACUGGAUGAGCAGCGAACGGGUGAGUAACGCGUGGGGAAUCUGCCUUUGAGCGGGGGACAACAUUUGGAAACGAAUGCUAAUACCGCAUAAAAACUUUAAACACAAGUUUUAAGUUUGAAAGAUGCAAUUGCAUCACUCAAAGAUGAUCCCGCGUUGUAUUAGCUAGUUGGUGAGGUAAAGGCUCACCAAGGCGAUGAUACAUAGCCGACCUGAGAGGGUGAUCGGCCACAUUGGGACUGAGACACGGCCCAAACUCCUACGGGAGGCAGCAGUAGGGAAUCUUCGGCAAUGGACGAAAGUCUGACCGAGCAACGCCGCGUGAGUGAAGAAGGUUUUCGGAUCGUAAAACUCUGUUGGUAGAGAAGAACGUUGGUGAGAGUGGAAAGCUCAUCAAGUGACGGUAACUACCCAGAAAGGGACGGCUAACUACGUG